rnacentral:rRNA from 1 species
UACGGGGGGGGCAAGCGUUGUUCGGAAUUACUGGGCGUAAAGGGCUCGUAGGCGGCCCACUAAGUCAGACGUGAAAUCCCUCGGCUUAACCGGGGAACUGCGUCUGAUACUGGAUGGCUUGAGAUUGGGAGAGGGAUGCGGAAUUCCAGGUGUAGCGGUGAAAUGCGUAGAGAUCCGGAAGAACACCGGUGGCGAAGGCGGCCUGCUGGGCAGUUGCUGACACUGAGGCGCGACAGCGUGGGGAGCAAACAGG